ACCCCGUGGGAACAUACCUUUCGGUAAGGAAUAGCCACUGGGAAAACGGUGAGUAAUACCUUAUACGCCCUUCGGGGGAAAGAUUUAUCGCCGAGAGAUUGGCCCGCGUUAGAUUAGAUAGUUGGUGGGGUAACGGCCUACCAAGUCUACGAUCUAUAGCUGGUUUUAGAGGAUGAUCAGCAACACUGGGACUGAGACACGGCCCAGACUCCUACGGGAGGCAGCAGUGGGGAAUAUUGCACAAUGGGCGAAAGCCUGAUGCAGCCAUGCCGCGUGUGUGAAAGAAGGCCCUUCGGGUUG
rnacentral:rRNA from 1 species